CAGAAAGUCGAGAGUUGUUUUAUCUUUAGAGAAAUCUGCUUACCCAUGGGUGCUUUUCAAGACGCAACACGUGCGGGUGCCAUUGGAGACUGAUUUCAUUUUUUCUAACCUUUAAGCACUAAGAGAUCUUAGUAGAUUUUCUCAGCUGAGGUGGAAUGUUAUUGUUCAUUGCUCUCAGAUUUUAUUUAUGCAAACAUAGAUAUACAAUCUAGUGAAGUAAGCUCAGUUGAGAGGAUUUUGAAGUUGGUUAUACUUGCUGGAAUGGCAUCAAAAAAAAGUCCUAGAUGAAUAUCUCCUGCAUGUUGCUUGGUGAAGGUACUUUGUUAAAGGUUAUUUCUUUAAACUUUGUAAGUAUGCUUUAAAAGAAUCAACCUACUGCAUGCCUUGUCUGCAAUGAUUAAGAGAGUUUACAUUUGUUUUGUUUAUACAUGCAAUGACUGGCAUAAGCUCUGUAAUUUUUUGAAUCUGUCUAAUUUGGAGGUAGACAUUAGUAAUUACUUCAAGCACUUUGACAUUAUUUGAACCUCUGUAAUUUGUAGGUAGACAUUUCCAAUUCAAAGGUUCAUAAUAUCAGUCAAGUGUAAUAUUUUUAUGCACCAAUAGUAGGCCUGCUGGAUGCUUCACUCCCAGAUUUAAUGUAUAGCCAUGUUGAGGCAAUGUUUUAAGGGAAGUAGAGUAUUUUUGUGUUUAGUGGCAUGCAGUAUGUUAUUAGGAAUUUAAGCAAUUGCAUGAAAAUUAGGUAUGUACUUGUUGCUAUAAUGUAUGAAGUGAAAGGAAAAAUGAAAUGUGGUGAUUGAAGCUUGUACUAUAUCUAGAUGGCAAUGUACAUGAAAAUAUGAGUAAAAUAUAUGGUGUUUGAUUUAUAUAUGGCAUGUCAUUAAGCUAUAUUAAGUCCAAAAGAAAAAGUCCUCAAAAUACAGGCAAUUGGC